rnacentral:snoRNA from 1 species
CCCGCUUUAGUGAUGAUACACGAAAUCAAGCAUAGUUCAAUCAGAAGUCCAUUAUGAUUGACACAAUUCCAUCUAACGUCUUUCGCUCCUAUCUGAAUCCAA